UUAAAAGCUAUGAAGGAAAAUAGUAAAAAAUAUUUUUGUAUUCAGAGAGUGAGUGGUUGGUGUGAACUCAUUGCAAUGAUUUUUGAAUCCAUUCCAGAGCUUCUAGUCGGAAAUAAUAGUAAGAUUAGACGUAUACCUACGUUACAGGAUUGAGAGGACUAUACAUAUACUGUAUGGUCAAUUAGGGUGGCAACGCGGAUUAAAGACUUUCGUCCCUUUU
rnacentral:ncRNA from 1 species